rnacentral:rRNA from 1 species
CAGCUUGUUGGUGAGGUAACGGCUCACCAAGGCAAUGAUCGGUAGCCGAUCUGAGAGGAUGAUCGGUCACACUGGAACUGAGACACGGUCCAGACUCCUACGGGAGGCAGCAGUGGGGAAUCUUGCGCAAUGGGCGAAAGCCUGACGCAGCGACGCCGCGUGGGGGAUGAAGCUUCUCGGAGUGUAAACCCCUUUCGACCCGGACGAAACUCCCGCAAGGGAUUGACGGUACGGGUAUAAGAAGCCCCGGCUAACUACGUGCCAGCAGCCGCGGUAAGACGUAGGGGGCCAGCGUUGCUCGGAAUUACUGGGCGUAAAGGGUUCGUAGGCGGUGUGGCAAGUCGGAAGUGAAAUCUCCAGGCUUAACUUGGAGGCUGCUUCCGAAACUGCCGUGCUAGAGUGCGGGAGAGGCCAGUGGAAUUGCAGGUGUAGCGGUGAAAUGCGUAGAUAUCUGCAGGAACACCCGUGGCGAAGGCGGCUGGCUGGACCGCAACUGACGCUGAGGAACGAAAGCUAGGGGAGC